rnacentral:rRNA from 1 species
UACGUAGGGGGCUAGCGUUGUCCGGAAUCAUUGGGCGUAAAGCGCGUGUAGGCGGUCCGGGAAGUCCGCUGUGAAAGUCGGGGGCUCAACCCUCGGAUGCCGGUGGAUACUGUCGGGCUUGAGUACGGAAGAGGCGAGUGGAAUUCCCGGUGUAGCGGUGAAAUGCGCAGAUAUCGGGAGGAACACCAAUUGCGAAGGCAGCUCGCUGGGACGUUACUGACGCUGAGACGCGAAAGCGUGGGGAGCAAACAGG